CGGAGCAGACCAAAAUCCCAAACAAGGAAAUGGUGGGGGAAUAAAACGACCAGAUUAUUUAAUUAAUGGAUGUAAUAAUUAAUAUUUUAUUUUAUUGUAAUUUAACAAAUAUUUAUGGUUUAAAAUGGAUUACGACUUCAAAACAAAGCUCGCGGCCGAACGAGAAAAGGUAGAAGAUCUGUUCGAAUAUGAAGGUUGCAAAGUGGGUCGAGGCACCUACGGGCACGUUUAUAAAGCUAAGCGCAAAGACGGGAAAGAUGAGAAAGAGUAUGCGCUGAAGCAAAUUGAAGGCACUGGAAUAUCGAUGUCUGCUUGCAGGGAAAUUGCUCUGCUACGAGAGCUGAAACACCCCAACGUGAUUGGCCUGCAGAAAGUGUUCUUGUCUCACAGUGACAGAAAGGUGUGGCUCCUUUUCGACUAUGCCGAGCAUGACCUCUGGCACAUCAUCAAGUUCCAUCGAGCCUCCAAGGCCAAUAAGAAGCCCAUGCAGCUGCCGAGAGGGAUGGUCAAGUCUCUCCUGUAUCAGAUUCUGGACGGGAUCCAUUACCUUCAUGCCAACUGGGUGCUUCACAGGGAUCUGAAACCAGCCAACAUUCUGGUAAUGGGGGAGGGCCCAGAACGAGGAUGGGUGAAAAUCGCUGACAUGGGCUUUGCCAGACUCUUCAACUCUCCUCUCAAACCCCUGGCGGACCUUGACCCCGUCGUGGUGACGUUCUGGUAUAGGGCCCCUGAGCUGCUGCUAGGGGCCCGACAUUACACCAAAGCAAUCGACAUUUGGGCGAUCGGCUGCAUCUUUGCGGAGCUGCUGACGUCGGAGCCCAUCUUCCACUGUCGCCAGGAGGACAUUAAGACCAGUAACCCAUUCCACCACGACCAGCUGGACAGGAUAUUCAGUGUCAUGGGCUUCCCAGCAGAUAAAGAUUGGGAAGACAUCAGGAAGAUGCCUGAGUACCCCACCCUUCAGAAAGACUUCAGGAGAAUGACGUAUGCAAAUAGCAGCCUAAUCAAAUACAUGGAGAAGCAUAAAGUCAAACCUGACAGCAAGGUUUUCCUGUUGCUCCAGAAACUCCUCACAAUGGACCCCACCAAAAGGAUUACUUCUGAACAGGCACUGCAGGACCCCUAUUUCCUGGAGGACCCCUUGCCAACCUCCGAUGUGUUUGCCGGAUGUCAGAUACCUUACCCGAAACGAGAGUUUCUAAACGAAGACGAGCCAGAAGAUAAAACAGAGAAGAACCAGGCCCAACAGCACCAGCAGACGACAGCUCAGACCCAGGCCCAGCAGCAGAGCGGCACCCAGCAAGCCUCCACUCAACAGAGCUCUGCCCAGACCAACGGUAACACAGGUGCUACGGGAGCCAACACGGGUGGAGGCCUCCAGCACGGCCAGGACCAGGGGCCCCCAAACAAGAAACCUCGGAUCGGGCCCUCUGGGGCCUCCUCAGGCACUGGGGUCCACCAGUCAGAGUACCAGCACUCCAACUCCCGCCUUGGAUACCAAAGCAACAUCCAAGGUUCCACUCAGUCCCAGGGAUACUCGUCGUCGUCCCAGCAGAGCUCACAGUACUCCCACCAAUCACACCGCUACUGAGGCCCCAAUAACUGCUCUCCAAAUCAACAGCAGGGGCCUCUCCCAAACCAACCCUCGACCUCAAACAAACCUUAGCAUAACCUCUCAUCUCCCUCGCCCUGAUCAGACCUCAUCGUGUGUCAGAUCAUUUCAACAACGCUAACAGUCAUUUCUUCUCCUCCUUCAUGUCAGCCCUACUACACCGAGUGACCCUGGCCUCACUUCCACCCAAUGCCCUCACACUUACCGGAGGGCACUGCAAUAUGAAGGCAAACAUAGAAACCAAAAACAAACCCUGCCUCCUCCUAUUUUUUAUUAUUAUCAAGUGACAAUUGGUUGAUACUAGAUUAUAAGAAGGAAACACAUCAGGUGCAACUUUGAAUACACACGCCUACUACACAAAGACUACGAACCAUGGCACUUACAGAAAACAUGUUCUUCAAGAGGAAGAAUUGCAGCUCUGUUCAUAUAUAAAUAUAUAUAAAUACUAUAUAGCACCUUUUUCUAUUCAUUUAACAAGAUACUUUUUUUGCUUGUUUGCUCUGUAGAGUUUAAGUUUACUUUGAUCGUUGGUGUUUUUGUAAAUGUUGUUUCGAUAUUGAAAAAGAUGGGAUGAAACAGGAAAAUAACCCUUUACUGUCAUCACUUUCCUUCACUGUACAUGUAUUUACCCUGGAUAUCUAUUAUAUACAGAUAACAAUCAAAGCAAAAGGAAGAAAAUGAGCCAACACUUUUCCCGAUGAGAAAACAAGACAGAAUCUUCUAUUCUCCCCUUGGCUUGGAAUCACAUUUCUAUAAGAGAAAGUCAGCUCUUUAGCUGAUGUCAUUGCAGGGAACUAUGAAAUACACCAUUUAUUUGAAUCUUGUUAUAUGAACAUUUAUGUUUUUCUACUUUUAGGCCUUUUGUUUGUCUAGAUUUGUAGUCUGAAUGUCUGAUUUGGAAGGACAUUUUUCUACAGUCUGCAGCAAGUGAUGUAAUCUCAAAUUGUCUCCAACAGCUCUAGGUACCGCAUGUCGUCUGACCGGUUACAACUACCACGCUACUCUUUAUGAGUCGUAUCCAUCAAGGAAACAUUUGUUGGUGAAUCUGAACGAUCUCAUUUCUGGCCAUAGGUGUUUAAGUGUGUGAGGUGCCUCUUUGUGGACUCCUUGGCUUGACAGAUCUUACAAUGGACACGGACGUCACUGAAGGUGUCCAUCAUCAUACUGGGAAGCCAAAGAGGUGUAUAUUCCAGAGACUGUUACUGCCUGAUAAUUAUUUUCUUUUUUUAUGUAAUGUUCUAGCUUUUAGUCUCUCAUUAUUGCCCUUUACAGUUUCAGUUUGUCUUUCCUCUUAUUCAGUCAAAGGACUGCACUGCUGAACAGAUCUGCAAAGAGCUGGAACAAAUUUGGGGUGAAGUAUUAUGCCCCAGCCUCUUCUACUCCACACCGCUGGUUGCACACUGAGUAUAAACCAAGGCAGAGAAGUGGUUUCUUAUAGUAUUUAUCCUGUGAAAACUAGUUGACUGGAGCUGUACUGUGCAUGUGUGCCCAAACACACAGAGAUAGAUGGACAUGGAAUAAGGCAGCCACUUCAGCUUGUUCUGUGACUAGUGAAGGGAUGUAGAAACACUGACAUCUACUGGCCAUUGAGAGAACUGGACCUCUUGCGGCAUUGGUGAAAAUGUCUUUAAGAUUUACAUUUACAUUUUCAUCAUUUAGCAGACUUACAAGAUGAUUUUAACUGCCUUUUGUGAUGUUCAAAAAUCAUCAGCCAUGUUCAACUGGUAUGUAUUGAUUAUGAUGAUGAUCAACGCUGUCCUUUUGUGGCCGAAGGAGAGAGAGACUUAUUCUGUUUUCUAUAGUAAAAAUAUUCACAGCCACAAUACAAGGUACUACCAUGUAUUUCACAACUGAUAGACUGCUCUCUGUGAAGCUGUUUGCUUCUGACAGUGAUACUGCACAGUUCUUCAGUGAUGGAUUGGUCUAUUAUCUUCGGCUCAGUCAAACAGGUUUAGAUAGCCCCUCGUAAUGAGAGAUUUGCUGUUGACCACCUUCUGGCUGUCUCUCUCCUCCUCUCUCUCUUCACACAUAUCAGAUGUCUUUCUCAGCACUCCCAGCUUACUGAAUCCCAGUUACAGUAUGUCUUAUAUGUUUUGAGUUGAAUGCCAAAACACCAGAUGAGCAAAAAGGACUGCUCCCUCCUAAUAGUCGCCCAGAAUGUUUUGCAUGUUGGAUUGGCUCUCUAUUUGAUGUUGAUACAAUGUCACUGUAUUGGUUUGGGUUUGAGUUUCUAUUUUCUAUUUUCCCUAUAGUCUGGCAGGCACACAGGCCCAGUGGAUUAACAACCGCCUUCCCAGAACAGUGUUUUUUUUCUCGGGAACAAAACCAGCAGCUAUUCAAAGCUUCAAUUUCUCUACCUGUAACCAGCCCACAGUAACUUUUCAAGCACCUGGAGAAAGAAAGGGGAAGAUAUGGAUUCCAUGAGAUGUGUCAAAUGGGAGCCACUUUCAAGGUCAUUUUAUUGGCUGGAGGCCACUGGAGACUGGACAGUGAGACUGGUGCAGGCAGGGCAAGCUGAGCACUGACAUCAAUCAUGCAGCCAUGGGGAACGGACCGAGAAUGUGUCCCAAAUGGCACCCUAUUCCCUUUAUAGUGCACUACUUUUGUCCAGGGCUCGGAUCAAAAGUGGUGCAUUAAAAUAGGGAAUUGUGUGCCAUUUGGGACAGCACCCGAGUGAACUCCCAGGCCCCUGACGUAUUACUCGUCCUACCACUUAGAGAAAUGUAUGAGCCGGAGGGAUCUCCGCAGAAUGUAUUAACACAGAUGUGAUCCCAUUUGUGGUGGUCCCGUGUAGCUCAGUUGGUAGAGCAUGGCGCUUGCAACGCCAUGGUUGUGGGUUCA